rnacentral:rRNA from 1 species
UACGGGGGGGGCAAGCGUUGUUCGGAAUUACUGGGCGUAAAGGGCGCGUAGGCGGCCAUCUAAGUCAGACGUGAAAUCCCUCGGCUCAACCGAGGAACUGCGUCUGAUACUGGAAGGCUUGAAUCCGGGAGAGGGAUGUGGAAUUCCAGGUGUAGCGGUGAAAUGCGUAGAUAUCUGGAGGAACACCGGUGGCGAAGGCGGCAUCCUGGACCGGUAUUGACGCUGAGGCGCGAAAGCCAGGGGAGCAAACGGG